rnacentral:misc_RNA from 1 species
GAUGAAGAACGCAGCAAAAUGCGAUAAGUAAUGUGAAUUGCAGAAUUCAGUGAAUCAUCGAAUCUUUGAACGCACAUUGCGCCCGCUGGUAUUCCGGCGGGCAUGCCUGUUCGAGCGUCAUUUCAACCCUCAAGCCCCCGGGUUUGGUGUUGGGGAUCGGCUCUGCCCUUCUGGGCGGAGCCGCCCCCGAAAUACAUUGGCGGUCUCGCUGCAGCCUCCAUUGCGUAGUAGCUAACACCUCGCAACUGGAACGCGGCGCGGCCAUGCCGUAAAACCCCAACUUCUGAAUGUUGACCUCGGAUCAGGUAGGAAUACCCGCUGAACUUAAGCAUAUCAAUAAGCGGAGGA